GCCGGUCCUCGGUAGUGGCCCCCGGGCAAUCGGCCCGGAGGCUUCGAUCGAAGACCGGC
rnacentral:ncRNA from 1 species